UCUGGUUGAUCCUGCCAGAGGUUACUGCUAUCGAGGUUCGACUAAGCCAUGCGAGUCGAAUGUAGCAAUACAUGGCGUACUGCUCAGUAACACGUGGACAACCUACCCUUAGGCCUGGGAUAACCCCGGGAAACUGGGAAUAAUACCGGAUAUGGCGCGAAUGCUGGAAUGCGUCGCGCCAGAAAGCUCCGGCGCCUAAGGAUGGGUCUGCGGCCUAUCAGGUAGUAGUGGGUGUAGCGUACCUACUAGCCUACGACGGGUACGGGUUGUGAGAGCAAGAGCCCGGAGAUGGAUUCUGAGACACGAAUCCAGGCCCUACGGGGUGCAGCAGGCGCGAAAACUUUACAAUGCUGGAAACAGCGAUAAGGGGACCUCGAGUGCCAGGUUACAAAUCUGGCUGUCGUGAUGCCUAAAAAGCAUUGCAUAGCAAGGGCCGGGCAAGACCGGUGCCAGCCGCCGCGGUAACACCGGCGGCUCGAGUGGUAACCGCUAUUAUUGGGUCUAAAGGGUCUGUAGCCGGCUGGAUAAGUCUCUUGGGAAAUCCGGCAGCUUAACUGUCGGGCUUUCAGGAGAUACUGUCUGGCUCGAGACCGGGAGAGGUGAGAGGUACUUCAGGGGUAGGGGUGAAAUCUUGUAAUCCUUGAAGGACCACCAGUGGCGAAGGCGUCUCACCAGAACGGACCUGACGGCAAGGGACGAAAGCUAGGGGCACGAACCGGAUUAGAUACCCGGGUAGUCCUAGCCGUAAACGAUACUCGCUAGGUGUCGGCCACGGUGCGACCGUGGUCGGUGCCGUAGGGAAGCCGUGAAGCGAGCCACCUGGGAAGUACGGCCGCAAGGCUGAAACUUAAAGGAAUUGGCGGGGGAGCACUACAACGGGUGGAGCUUGCGGUUUAAUUGGAUUCAACGCCGGAAAUCUCACCGGGACCGACAGCGAUAUGAAGGCCAGGCUGAAGACCUUGCCGGAUUAGCUGAGAGGUGGUGCAUGGCCGUCGUCAGUUCGUACUGUGAAGCAUCCUGUUAAGUCAGGCAACGAGCGAGACCCACGCCCACAGUUGCCAGCGUACUCUCCGGAGUGACGGGUACACUGUGGGGACCGCCGCUGCUAAAGCGGAGGAAGGAAUGGGCAACGGUAGGUCAGUAUGCCCCGAAUAUCCCGGGCUACACGCGAGCUACAAUGGUUGGUACAAUGGGUAUCUACCCCGAAAGGGGAUGGAAAUCUCCUAA
rnacentral:rRNA from 1 species